rnacentral:rRNA from 2 species
AUCCGGGUUGCGGACAGUGUCUGGUGGGUAGUUUGACUGGGGCGGUCUCCUCCCAAAGAGUAACGGAGGAGCACGAAGGUUAGCUAAUCCUGGUCGGACAUCAGGAGGUUAGUGCAAUGGCAUAAGCUAGCUUGACUGCGAGAGUGACGGCUCGAGCAGGUGCGAAAGCAGGUCAUAGUGAUCCGGUGGUUCUGAAUGGAAGGGCCAUCGCUCAACGGAUAAAAGGUACUCCGGGGAUAACAGGCUGAUACCGCCCAAGAGUUCAUAUCGACGGCGGUGUUUGGCACCUCGAUGUCGGCUCAUCACAUCCUGGGGCUGAAGUAGGUCCCAAGGGUAUGGCUGUUCGCCAUUUAAAGUGGUACGCGAGCUGGGUUUAGAACGUCGUGAGACAGUUCGGUCCCUAUCUGCCGUGGGCGCUGGAGAAUUGAGGGGGGCUGCUCCUAGUACGAGAGGACCGGAGUGGACGCAUCACUGGUGUUCGGGUUGUCAUGCCAAUGGCACUGCCCGGUAGCUAAAUGCGGAAAAGAUAAGUGCUGAAAGCAUCUAAGCACGAAACUUGCCCCGAGAUGAGUUCUCCCUGACCCUUUAAGGGUCCUGAAGGAACGUUGAAGACUACGACGUUGAUAGGUCGGGUGUGUAAGCGCAGCGAUGCGUUGAGCUAACCGAUACUAAUGAACCGUGAGGCUUAACCUUACAACGCCGAAGCUGUU